CCUACGGGUGGCAGCAGUGAGGAAUAUUGGUCAAUGGACGAGAGUCUGAACCAGCCAAGUAGCGUGAAGGAUGACUGCCCUAUGGGUUGUAAACUUCUUUUAUAUGGGAAUAAAAUGUUCCACGUGUGGGAUUUUGUAUGUACCAUAUGAAUAAGGAUCGGCUAACUCCGUGCCAGCAGCCGCGGUAAUACGGAGGAUCCGAGCGUUAUCCGGAUUUAUUGGGUUUAAAGGGAGCGUAGGUGGAUUGUUAAGUCAGUUGUGAAAGUUUGCGGCUCAACCGUAAAAUUGCAGUUGAUACUGGCAGUCUUGAGUACAGUAGAGGUGGGCGGAAGUCGUGGUGUAGCGGUGAAAUGCUGAGAUAUCACGAAGAACUCCGAUUGCGAAGGCAGUUCACUGGACUGCAACUGACACUGAGGCUCGAAAGUGUGGGUAUCAAACAGGAUUAGAUACCCUAGUAGUC
rnacentral:rRNA from 1 species